CGAGCGGUAACAGAUCCAGCUUGCUGGAUGCUGACAAGCGGCGGACGGGUGAGUAAUGCAUAUGAAUCUGCCCGAUAGUGGGGGAUAACCUGGGGAAACCCAGGCUAAUACCGCAUACGUCCUACGGGAGAAAGGGGGCUCCGGCUCCCGCUAUGGGAUGAGCCUAUGUCGGAUUAGCUAGUUGGUGAGGUAACGGCUCACCAAGGCAACGAUCCGUAGCUGGUCUGAGAGGAUGAUCAGCCACAUCGGGACUGAGACACGGCCCGAACUCCUACGGGAGGCAGCAGUGGGGAAUAUUGGACAAUGGGGGAAACCCUGAUCCAGCCAUGCCGCGUGUGUGAAGAAGGCCCUCGGGUUGUAAAGCACUUUCAGCGAGGAAGAACGCCUAACGGUUAAUACCCGCUAGGAAAGACAUCACUCGCAGAAGAAGCACCGGCUAACUCCGUGCCAGCAGCCGCGGUAAUACGGAGGGUGCAAGCGUUAAUCGGAAUUACUGGGCGUAAAGCGCGCGUAGGUGGCUUGAUAAGCCGGUUGUGAAAGCCCCGGGCUCAACCUGGGAACGGCAUCCGGAACUGUCAAGCUAGAGUGCAGGAGAGGAAGGUAGAAUUCCCGGUGUAGCGGUGAAAUGCGUAGAGAUCGGGAGGAAUACCAGUGGCGAAGGCGGCCUUCUGGACUGACGCUGACACUGAGGUGCGAAAGCGUGGGUAGCAACACAGGAUUAGAUACCCUGGUAGUCCACGCCGUAAACGAUGUCGACCAGCCGUUGGGUGCCUAGCGCACUUUGUGGCGAAGUUAACGCGAUAAGUCGACCGCCUGGGGAGUACGGCCGCAAGGUUAAAACUCAAAUGAAUUGACGGGGCCCCGCACAAGCGGUGGAGCAUGUGGUUUAAUUCGAUGCAACGCGAAGAACCUUACCUACUCUUGACAUCCUGCGAAUUUGGUAGAGAUACCUUAGUGCCUUCGGGAACGCAGAGACAGGUGCUGCAUGGCUGUCGUCAGCUCGUGUUGUGAAAUGUUGGGUUAAGUCCCGUAACGAGCGCAACCCUUGUCCUUAUUUGCCAGCGCGUAAUGGCGGGAACUCUAAGGAGACUGCCGGUGACAAACCGGAGGAAGGUGGGGACGACGUCAAGUCAUCAUGGCCCUUACGAGUAGGGUUACACACGUGCUACAAUGGUCGGUACAAAGG
rnacentral:rRNA from 1 species